UGAUUUUGCCAUCGAUUUGUGUCCUACAUUGUAAUCUCCACCUUUCUUCUUUCAUCCUUCAGCAGACGACACUCCUCCAGUCCUCCUUCAAUGUCCAUGGCAGCUGCCGCCAUUCCUGCGUUAACCUUUCAGUCAGCAUCUAUUUCAACAACAAAUCAUUCGGUUUCUCCCAGGCGCCACUACCUUUUCAACCUCAAACCCAGUUCCGCGAAGGAUAGGUGUUUGCCCCUUUGCGCAACUCACGCUUCCGUUUCCCCGAUGGAGGGAUUCUUCGCAAACGACGAUUCGAACGAUAAGGGAAAUGGAGAUAAAAAUUUGGAUGCUGCUCAAUACGAAGCUCUGCUCAAAGGCGGUGAGCAGGUGACCUCUGUUUUCGAAGAAAUGAUCACGCUUUUAGCGGACAUGAAUAUGGAUGAAGCAUCUGAGGAGGUAGCAGUGCAAUUGGCUGCACAGGGAGUGAUUGGCAAAAGAGUGGAUGAAAUGGAAGGAGGGUUUAUGAUGGCUCUUGAUUACAUGAUAAAUCUCGCUGAAAAGGACCAGGAUGAUAAGAGGAAGUCUCUCUUGGAGGUGAUUAAAGAGACUGUGUUAUCUCAUCUCACGAAAAAAUGCCCCCCUCAUGUUCAAGUUAUUGGCCUACUUUGCAGAACUCCGAAGAAAGAGAGCAGGCAUGAAUUGCUGAGGCGAGUGGCUGCCGGUGGUGGUGUCUUUGAGGGGGGGAAUGGCACAAAAGUUCAUCUUCCAGGAGCAAAUUUGAAUCAAAUAGCUAACCAGGCUGAUGAUCUUCUUGAGACAAUGGAAUCCCGUCCCGUCAUUCCUGAUCGGAAGCUACUUGCGAGGCUUGUUUUAAUCAGAGAAGAGGCCAGGAACAUGAUGGGAGGUGGAAUACUGGAUGAAAGAAAUGAUCGUGGUCUCAACACUCUUCCUGAAUCGGAGGUGAACUUUUUGACCAAACUUGUUGCCUUAAGACCAGGGCAAACAGUGCGCGACAUGAUAAAAACUGUCAUGCAAGGAAAAGAUGAAGGUGCAGAAAGUUCCGAGAGCAAAGACGAUGUAAGAGCAGAAAAUAUUCCUGAGGGAAUAGCGGGAAGGGGUAGCGUUAGCGGCCGCAAGGCAUUGCCUGUGCGUCCUGGAAUGUUUCUUGAAACUGUUUCUAAGGUAUUAGGUGGCAUAUAUGCAGGAAAUGUACCUGGAAUUACGGCACAGCAUCUAGAAUGGGUUCAUCACAACACACUCCAAAUACUUGAAGAAAUUGCAUUCUAGAUUUCCUCUGCAGGCAGGGAAGGAAAGGGAACCAUUUUAUUUUGGCAAGCGAAAUGCUGAUUCUACUUUUCCUUGCCAAAAAAAGGGCCCCUGGGUGGGCUGGAUUCCUUCCUAAUUGCAAAUUAAUUAAUUAACCAAAGCAAACCAUGUGUGGGAAUGGACCUGCCUUGCCUUCACUGUGGGACCACACAACAAACACAAACACAAAGCGAGGUUGCGAGGUCAUGGAUGGUGAGAGAGAAGCACAUGGACCUAGGUGCAAGAAAGAAAAGGCUUUUUCCAGAAAAAGGUAAGAAAAAGCUAGCCAGCCACAUGUAUGUAUGUAUGUAUGUGUACGUGUAUUGCACACACUAAAAUAAAUAAAUAUACUAA